rnacentral:rRNA from 1 species
UACAUGUGGGGCAAGCGUUGUUCGGAAUUACUGGGCAUAAAGGGUGCGUAGGCGGCUUGUUAAGUCAGGGGUGAAAGUUUUCGGCCCAACCGGAAAAUUGCCUUUGAUACAGGCGAGCUCGAGUGCGUGAGGGGUAACCGGAACGAGCAGUGUAGCGGUGAAAUGCGCAGAUAUCAGGAGGAACACCGGUGGCGAAGGCGGGUCUCUGGGCCGAUACUGACGCUGAGGAGCGAAAGCGUGGGGAGCGAACAGG